rnacentral:lncRNA from 1 species
CCUAUUGGAACAUGCUAGGGUCAAUGAAAGUUCAUUUUAUUGAAGUCAAGAUCAAAAAGCAGGCGGCUCCAAGAUAUAUACAGCCCUUUAGCCACAAAGGCCAGUGUUGGGGGCAGCUCGUGGGCUAGUAUGAGUAUCUCCAUGUCUUUAUUGAAAAGCAGGCUACUUUCAUUUUCAAGCAGCUUCCAUAAGCCUUCAUCUCUUGUGAGCAUUCCCAUUGCAGUAAGAAGAGAGAAUCCUAGCCAUCUCAUCACACCCAGAAAGUAACAAGAGGCACAGCUAUGAAGAGGAGAUUAGGACACAAGGAGAGACACCGGGGAUGUCUGCACAUAGAAGAAAGGCCACAUGAAGAUACUACGAGUAGGAAGCCAUCUGCAAGCCAAGGAGAGAGGCCUCAGAAGAAACCAAACCUGCUGGCACCUUGAUCUUGGACUUCCAGAACGGUGCAAAAUAAACUUCUGUUGUGAAGCCUCCAAGUCUGUAGUAUUUUGCUAUGGCAGCCCUAGAAAAUGCAUACAAGAGCUGAGUGCAGUGGCUCACUAACCCUUUGGAAGCUCAAGGUGGGAGGACUGCUUGAAACCAGGAGUUUGAGAUCAGCCUGAGAAACAAACUAAGACCAUGUCUCUACCCAAGUUUUUUUAAAUUAGCUAGGUGUGAUGGCACACAUCUGUAGUCCCAGCUACUCAGGAGGCUAAGGCGGGAGGAUUGCUGGAACCCAGGAGUCUGAGGCGUAGAGAGCUAUGAUCAUGCCACUGCACUCCAGCCUGGGUGGCAGAGUGAGACAGUAAGACAGUGAGACAGACAGACAGACAGACAAAGGGAAGGAAGGAAGGAAGGAAGGGUGGGAGGGAAGGAGGGAAAGAAAGAGAUAAAGAAAAAGAGAAAGAGAGAGAGAGAAAGAAAGAAAAAGAAAGAAAAAGAGCCGGUUGUGGUGGCUCAUGCCUGUAAUCUCAACACUUUGGGAGGCCGAGGUGGGCAGAUCAUGAGGUCAGGAGAUCGAGACCAUCCUGGCUAACAUGGUGAAACCCCAUCUGUACUAAAAAUACAAAAACGCCUGUAAUCUCAGCUACUCAGGAGACUGAGGCAGGAGAAUCACUUGAACCCAGGAGGCAGAGGUUGCAGUGAGCCCAGAUCGCGCCAUUGCACUCCAGCUUGGGCAACAAGAGGGAAACUCUGCCAAAAGAAAGAAAGAAAGAAGGAAAGAAAGAAAAGAAAGAAAGAAAGAAAGAAAGAAAGAAAGAAAGAAAGAAAGAAAGAAAGAAAGAAAGAAAGAAAGAAAAUGAAGGAAGGAAGGAAAGGAAGGAAGGAAAGGGAACAGAAGGAAGGAGAGGGUGGAAGGAGAGGGUGGAAGGAAAAAAGAAAGAGAAAGAAAAAAACAGGAAAAACAGAAGAAAGGGAGGAAAGGAAGGGAGGGAAGGAAAGAAAGAGAGAGAGGAAGAAAGGGAAGAAAAGGAAGGGAGGGAGGGAGGAAGGGAAAGAAAGGAAGAAAAGAAGGCCAGGCUCGGUGGCUCACGCCUGUAAUCCGAGCACUUUGGGAGGCUGAGGCAAGCGGACCAUGAAGUCAGGAGAUCCAGACCAUCCUAGCCAACAUCAUGAAACCCUGUCUCUACUAAAAAUACAAAAAUUAGCUGGAUGUGGUGGCACGUGCCUGUAAUCCCAGCUACUUGGGAGGCUAAGGCAGGAGAAUCGCUUGAACCAGGGAGUCGGAGGUUGCAGUGAGUUAAGAUCACACCAUUGCACUCCAGGCUGGUGACAGAGCAAGACUUUACCUCAAAAAAAAAAAAAGGGGGGGGGGGAGGGGAAGGGGAAGGGGAAGGGAACUAAUAUAAAGCUUAAGAGUCUUUAGGUCACUAUGGGAAAGUAGAAACCAAAGUUGCAAUCCCUUCCUUCCAGAGAGGAGGGGAGAUAAUACCUGUGUCAAUAUAGGAGGCCUUGGGGAUGACAACUUUGGCCAGGAGUAGAAGCAUUUUCUCAGAGAAUGGCUCCCUACGCUGACCCUCACAAAUACUCACUGGGUUAAGCCUCCCAUUAUACCUCCAUAGCAACCUAACUCAAUCCUUCCAACACCAACACACUUAGAAUUCAUUGUUAGGUCUCUCACUGAACAACAAAUUCCACGAGGCCUGGGACCAAAAAAUCCUGUGUCGGGGGUCAAGAUGAAGCCAGUAUGCACACACACACACACACACACACACACAUAUACGCCAAUUAUUGACAACAGGCAUCCUUUCCAAUUGGUCCAGGUCAGUCCUGCAUGAUCACUAUCCAUGCCAUCUAGUUGUGAAGAAUUUUGAAAGACUUUCAGAGACUAGCACAGGUCCCAAAAAACAGUAGGUGUCUGAUAAUAUCUGCUGAUUGAUGGAUUUGUUGCUUAGGUCUCAGGAUGGUAAAGGGAAGAAUAGAUUAUUCGCCAGUUGACUAUUAACCAACUGCUGCAAUAUGCCAGGUCCCUGGGCUAGGUGCUAGGUAACAAGCAUGAGUAAAAUGCAGCCCCAUGACCUCAAUGAACUGACAGCAAUAGUCCAAAAGGAGUAAACGGAGGAUGUAAAACCUCUGGGACCCAGGGGCAAGAGCGGGAAGCCAGCUGAGGAAAGAUAUGGUUGCAUAAAGAAUCUCAUGCUGCUGGGAUAGAGACAAGAUACUUGAUACAGGCAACAUGAUGCCUGAGGUCAGGUGCAUUUUCUCCAGGCCGUGAGAGACAAAGGGAAGUUGCCCUUGCUCAAAUCUGUUUCUUUGGACCCCCUUGUCCUUGGGCUUGCAGUGACUGAUCAUCCUGGAAAUAAUGAAAAGAUCUGUCAUGUUCUGGCUCAUUUAAAGCUUAAAAAGGGUCACAUAGCACAGAAACAACGCCCCACGAAGGAUCAAGCAAAUUGAGCAGAGAUCCAGUGGACACUGAAAGAACACAGGCCACAAAUCCAGUUGCCUUAGUAAAGAAGCCCUUCCUCAGCCUAUGAUACGAUCAUUUUUAAAAAGCCACAGAAAAAUGAAGGCAAUUGGACAAGAAAGCAACAUUUAGCUUAAUUAGCUCCAUCUUAGGAAAGGGUCUUGGAAAAAACUAUGGAGAAAAUGUGCAGGGGCAAAAGACGGGAUCAUGAGGAGACCAUCCUGGAUCAUACAUAAGGACUGUAUCUAAACCCAGGAGCUUGAGAAUUUCUUGGUUCUGCAGUGUCUCAUCCAUAAACUGUUUGAGGUCCAUGUAAAUAACGCAAAUGUCUGCAAACCCUACGUGCUUUAUCUAUUUUACUCUACUGCAAGACAGAAAACCCUGGAGCCAGAGACAGGAGAGCGCCUGACCCCUUGGACUGUUCAAAACAUUGGCUUGCGGGGCUGGGCACGAUGGCUCAUGCCUGUAAUCCCAGCACUUUGGGAGGCCGAGGCGGGUGGAUCACCUGAGGUCGAGAGUUCAAGACCAGCCUGACCAACAUGGAGAAAUCCCGUCUCUACUAAAAGUACAAAAUUAGCCGGGCAUGGUGGCACAUGCCUGUAAUCCCAGCUACUCAGGAGGCUGAGGCAGGAGAAUCUCUUGAACCUGGGAGGCAGAGGUUGCGGUGAGCUGAGAUUGUGCCAUUGCUCUCCAGCCUGGGCAACAAGAGCAAAACUCUGUCUCACUAAAAAAAAAAAAAAAAAAAAAAAAAAAAAAAAAAAAAAAAAAAAUUGGCUUGAGUCAGUAGCUUUCUGCAUUUGUUAAAUUCCUACCGCCUUGUACCCAUCCAAAAGAGCUGAGAUCACCAAAAGGACUUAGAGUAUAUAUGAGAAUCUAAGAGCUCUCUCAACUUAGAAAACAUAUUGCCUAGACUUCAUUAGAAUCAAGAGACACUUACAGGCUAAGAUUUCUAUCCCAAUUUUAAAUAAUUAUUUCCUCCCUAAUCAGAGAAGUAUUUUAUUUUAAUGUAAUGUUUUUUAAAAAAUAAGAACUAAAACCAGAGCAAACACCAGUUUAUAUGUUCCCCUCAAACAUUUUUCUGAUUGAAUCUCCCCUUCUCUUUUCAGCCUGUGACAGAAUGACACUUUCCUUAUACCUUAAUCGAAUGUUUCUGUUAUAAAGCCAAUGAAUGUGAACAGGCCAAGCUCCUGAACAUGUCAAGAAGCAAUGAGAACUCAGUGGAAAAUGGCCCAUAGAAAAGUUUUAUGAGCUGCAAAUGUUACAUUUCAUCCUACAAUGGAAUCUGCCUCCCUUCACAAUCCUCCAGGAUUCCAGCCCACCCCCAGGCACCUUUAUUUCUCACAGAACCCCUGACGCUCAGUAAUCCAGCAGAACAGUUAAAGAAACCGUGAGCACUUUCUUGAGGUUCUUGGUGUGUUUUGAUUUGGGUUAUUUUGCCUUGUUUUGUUUUACUUUCCUGGUCACUGAUUCUUGUGAAGUCUUAGGAGCCAAAAAUCUCCCCAACCCCUCCCUUUCUUGAAGUCAAGAAAAUUAAUGAAAAACAGUCAUGCAUGGGAAUACUCCAUUAUGAAGAAGGAAAACUCAGUGCAAACAUAUCAUUUGAAGGGGCUUGCAGGUGGACCUGCAAGGGUCAAAGCCACACAAAACCAAAGAGUAAGGUCAAGUUCUAAAAUAUUUGUAUUCCACUGACUGCAAUGAAGGCUAAUGUGUGCCCUAAUUAAAUUGCUAAAUACUUCAUAUCUGUAAUGAGCUUAGGGAAAGGAAUCUAUUGUUUCAUUUUAGCAUUCAGUUUUAAGAAAGUUUUUAUUUAAUCCAGCUUUACCAAUUCUACUGAUUUGGGGCACGACAAAACCUCUAUUUAGAAAAAUGGUUAGCUAAAUCUUUAUGAGAGGCAGCAUCAUAUGGUAUUGAGGACAUACACUUUAAAAUCAAACCGCUCUAUAUGCACAUCUUGUGGCCUGUCACCCAUUUUGUAACCUGGUGUAAGAUGCUUAGUCACUCUGAGCCACAGGUGCCUUGCUACCAGAUGGGAAUAGUAAUAUCUAAUUUGCAGUGUUGUUAUAAGAGUCAAAUAAAUAGUACUUCUGAGGUGUACAGCACUGGACAGAGAAGACUCUUGAUUAAUGUUAGGAAUGAUGGUCAUCGACGAUGACAAUGAUGAUGAAGGUGGUGAUGAUGAAGAUGAAGAUGAGGAUGGUGAUGUUGAUGGAAGAGGAUCAAGGCCAACGUUGCGUCUCCACAAGCUACUGAUUUCCAUCUUUGAGUGUUGAGCACUGAUCAGCUAUUACUCAUCUGUAGACUCCUACUCUGCAGAUCAUCCUCAGCCCAUAGAGUUAAAAAACAACACCUGAGUGCCAAACAUCCACCAAUUCUAGGCCAGAGACAGGAAAGAACAAAGGUUCAAAGGUAGAGAUUUGACACACACGUAUACACGCACACAUACAUGAGAACCCCACCU